rfam:Streptomyces rubellomurinus strain ATCC 31215 contig-186, whole genome shotgun sequence.
CUUGAUCGAGCCGAGCAGCAGCGGGCCGUCGGUCCGCUCGCGGCCGUAGGUCGCCAGCAGUGCCUGGGCCUC